rnacentral:lncRNA from 1 species
AGUCUGUUCAUUCUUUUGCCUCUUGAUAUUUGGUGCACAUAUGUAAGUUCUAAUCAUCUGAUGAGUACUGUGAUCUUUUGUCUUUGCAGGUAUGCUCUUACCAGCAAUUCGAACAUACGAGUUUUUUUCAAAUAUAGACGUUUACAUGCUGUGGGCUUGGAGAACAACUUAUUUGAGAUACUAUUAGAUUCUUUAUGCAAAGAGGGGCAUGUGAAGGUAGCUUCUGAGUAUUUUUAUAGACGAAAAGGACAAGACUCAAAUUGGUUGCCAUCUUUUCGGGCCUAUAAUAUAUUGUUAAAUGGAUGGUUUCGAUCAAGAAAGAUCAAGAAAGCUGAGCGGUUGUGGGCUGAGAUGAAAAAGGAGGGCAUAAAACCUAAUGUUGUAACUUAUGGUACCCUUGUCGAAGGAUUAUGCCGGAUGCGGAGAGUUGAGAUGGCAAUUGAAUUGGUUGGUGAGAUGAUAGAGGAAGGAAUUGAGCCCAAUGCAAUCGUCUACAAUCCAAUACUAGAUGCAUUAGGAGAAGCUGGGCGGUUCAAGGAAGAGCCCAAUGCAAUUGUCUACAAUCCAAUAAUAGAUGCAUUAGGAGAAGCUGGGCGGUUCAAGGAAGCAUCAGGAAUGAUGGAGAGGCUGUCGGUUUUGGAAUCUGAUCCAACUCUAUCAACUUACAAUUCACUGGUGAAAGAUUUUUGCAAGGCAGGAGAUCUUGUCGGGGCUAGUAAGAUUCUUAAGAUGAUGAUAAAUAGAGGUUUUAUGCCAACAACUUCUUAUAAUUACUUCUUUUGGUACUUCUCCAAGUUUGGUAAGAUUGAAGAAGGCUUAAACCACUAUACCAAGAUGAUUGAAUCUGGAUACGUGGCAGAUCGACUAACAUACCAUCUGCUGGUAAGGAUGCUAUGAGAGCAGGAUAGAUUGGAUCUGGCAAUGCAAAUUAUCCAAGAGAUGAGGGCAAAGGGUUUUGAUUUGGACUUGGCUACAAGUACCAUGCUUAUACAUUUAUUCUGCAAGAUGCAUCGAUUUGAUGAUGCUAUUGAGUGGUUUCAUGACAUGAUUCGGAGAGGCCUAGUUCCUCAAUAUCUUGCAUAUCAGAGAAUGUGCAAUGAUCUCAAAAAACAAGGAAUGACUGAAAAGGUACAGAAACUUAGAGACAUGAUGGUUUCUAAUGACAUGAUUCGGAGAGGACUAGUUCCUCAAUAUCUUGCAUAUCAGAGAAUGUGCAAUGAUCUCAAAAAACAAGGAAUGACUGAAAAGGUGCAGAAACUUAGAGACAUGAUGGUUUCUACACCCCGCUCUGAGAAGUU